CCUACGGGUGGCUGCAGUCGGGAAUAUUGCGCAAUGGAGGCAACUCUGACGCAGUGACGCCGCGUGCAGGAAGAAGGUUUUCUGAUUGUAAACUGCUUUAGACAGGGAAGAAAAAAGACAUUACCUGUAGAAUCAGCACCGGCCAACCACGUGCCAGCAGCCGCGGUAAUACGUAGGGAGCAAGCGUUAUCCGGAUUUAUUGGGUGUAAAGGGUGCGUAGACGGAGAAGCAAGUUAGUGGUGAAAUCCCUAGGCUUAACUGAGGAACUGCAACUAAAACUACUGCCCUUGAGUACUGGAGAGGAAAGUGGAAUUCAUGGUGCAGCGGUGAAAUGCGUAGAUAUUA
rnacentral:rRNA from 1 species